UUAUUCUUAAAUGGUUAAAAAUUCAGCAAUAUGAAUCUGAUGACUCUGAUGAGAAAGACUUUGGCAGGGUUGUUUAUAAAUUGUGAAAUAGGCAGAACUAGCUAGUCAAUUAUCUUAUUCAAUAUUUCUGCACAACCCUUUUUUUGGUGAAUUAUUCUGCACCUACACCCCUUGGUGAAGAAUUAUAAUUAAGUUUGCAGGCCUUCUAAUUAACAUGGAGCCACAGUGUGCAAUCAAGAAAGAUGCCACUGAAGUAAUAUAUUUUGUCAUAAUAACAUUUUAUUUUGCUGAAAAAUGCAAAAAGGAAAUAUACGGACAAUUGUUAGUGCUAGUUGCUUAAUUUAUUAUUAUAAGUAGUAGAAAUACAAUCGGUGCUCACUUCUCUCACUCAA